rnacentral:rRNA from 1 species
CCUACGGGAGGCAGCAGUGGGGAAUAUUGCACAAUUGGGGAAACUCUGAUGCAGCGACGCCGCGUGAAGGAAGAAGUAUCUAGGUAUGUAAACUUCUAUCAGCAGGGAAGUAAACGACGGUACGUGUCUCAGAUGCCCCGUCUCACUUCGUGCCAGCAGCCGCGGUAAUACGUCGGGGGCAGGCGUUAUCCGGAUUUACUGGGUGUAAAGGGAGCGUAGGCGGUUUAGCAAGUCAGAAGUGAAAGCCCGGGGCUCAACUCCGGGACUGCAUUUGAAACUGUUGAACUUGAUUGCAGGAGAGGUAAGUGGAAUUCGUGGUGUAGCGGUGAAAUGCGUAGAUAUUAGGAGGAACACCAGUGGCGAAGGCAGCUUACUGGACUGUAAAUGACGCUGAGGCUCGAAAGCGUGGGGAGCAAACAGGAUUAGAUACCCUGGUAGUC